GCCUGGGUGGCUCAGUCGGUUGAGCGUCUGACUCCGGCUCAGGUUGUGAUCUCACACUCUGUGAGUUCGAGCCCCACGUCGGGCU